rnacentral:rRNA from 1 species
UGCCAGCAGCCGCGGUAAUACGGAGGGUGCAAACGUUAAUCGGAAUUACUGGGCGUAAAGCGCGCGUAGGUGGUUCAUCAAGUGGGAUGUGAAAGCCCAGGGCUUAACCUUGGAAUUGCAUUCCAAACUGACGAACUAGAGUACGAUAGAGGGGGGUAGAAUUCAGAGUGUAGCGGUGAAAUGCGUAGAUAUUCUGAGGAAUACCAGUGGCGAAGGCGGCCCCCUGGACAAAGACUGACGCUCAUGUACGAAAGCGUGGGGAGCAAACAGGAUUAGAUA